GAUGGCUAGACUGCAGCAAAAAGGGACAACCGAAACCUUCAUCAUUUCCUUCUACAAAUUCACCAAAUCACUACCAAAACUUCCAUAGAUUCUCACCAAACUUCACAUUCAUUUAGCUUUUCACUUGGACAACAAUUUAGGCUGAAAAAGGGAGGAGCUUCACGGUUUUCUUCAAGCUUCAAAGGGGCCGAAACUUCUGUCCUAACCAGUCAUCAAAGUAGGCACGCACGAGGACCUCCAAGAGGACCCUACCGUGGAAGUUUGAACUCUCAAUCCAACCUACUUGCUUGCAGAACUUGGAUUGAACUUGGCGAGGUAUCGAAGAAACCUUCCUGCUACGCUUUUGUUUAGGGUUUCUAUUACUUUUGACUUUGUCUUGGCUUUUGGGUUGUAUUUUGGAAUCCGAAUGUAACUUUUGGAGUAUGAUGUAUAUUUGGGAUAUAUGAUGGUUGUUGAACACCGAUGUGCGGGUUGGAUAUCGGAUGACUUUUAUUAAACUUGAACGAUUCCGCAUUUAUUGUAUCUAAGUUAUUGA